CCCCAUAGUCUGGGAUACCACUUGGAAACAGGUGCUAAUACCGGAUAAGAAAGCGGAUCGCAUGAUCAGCUUUUAAAAGGCGGCGUAAGCUGUCGCUAUGGGAUGGCCCCGCGGUGCAUUAGCUAGUUGGUAGGGUAAAGGCUUACCAAGGCGAUGAUGCAUAGCCGAGUUGAGAGACUGAUCGGCCACAUUGGGACUGAGACACGGCCCAAAACUCCUACGGGAGGCAGCAGAG
rnacentral:rRNA from 1 species